CCAAAAGAUCGAAUGGGGAGAUUCAUCGUCAACGACGCCGGCUCCCGUUGGUGCGCGAUGCCCCGGAUGGACCCGCGAGGGUUCCGUUAGCGAGGGCACACCAUCAUCGGCGAACGUUCCGGCGAAGUAGUCGUGCACUUCUCCCCUAGUAGAACGUCGCGACCCGUUGCGUGUCGGUCUACGGUCCGAGGCGGAGCCUGUCCGUCGCCCUUCGCGGCGUUCGUGACAGACCCUCGGUUUCCCGGCCGACUGCGCGACGGUACUCAAACGGUAUCGGGCCGCAACCAAUCCAUUUUCGAAUGUGUGUGCGUCAGGACCGCCGCAAGCUCGGUCCAGUUAUACCCGGAUGCACGGACUAUGCGCCGUCCCCGGGCCUGGCCAGCUGUUAGCAGGCGGAGUCCUUGGACUGGCCAAGCUUCGAAUUACCGGUCGGCGACGCUAUUGCUUUGGGUACUCUCAGGACCCGUCUUGAAACACGGACCAAGGAGUCUAACAUGUGCGCGAGUCAUUGGGAAUAUUGAUAAACCUAAAGGCGAAAUGAAAGUGAAAGUCGUCCUUUGCGUCGACCUAGGGAGGAUGGGCCUCGUUACGAUUAGGCCUCGCACUCCCGGGGCGUCUCGUUCUCAUCG
rnacentral:rRNA from 1 species